rnacentral:rRNA from 1 species
UUGAACGCUGGCGGAAUGCUUUACACAUGCAAGUCGAGCGGCAGCGCGGGGGCAAUCCUGGCGGCGAGCGGCGAACGGGUGAGUAAUGUAUCGGAACGUACCCUGUCGUGGGGGAUAACACAGCGAAAGCUGUGCUAAUACCGCAUACGACCUGCGGGGGAAAGCGGGGGAUCGCAAGACCUCGCGCGAUAGGAGCGGCCGAUAUCGGAUUAGCUUGUUGGUGAGGUAAAGGCUCACCAAGGCGACGAUCCGUAGCUGGUCUGAGAGGACGACCAGCCACACUGGAACUGAGACACGGUCCAGACUCCUACGGGAGGCAGCAGUGGGGAAUUUUGGACAAUGGGGGCAACCCUGAUCCAGCCAUUCCGCGUGAGUGAAGAAGGCCUUCGGGUUGUAAAGCUCUUUCAGUAGGAACGAAACGGUGGCUACUAAUACUAGCUACUAAUGACGGUACCUGAAGAAGAAGCACCGGCUAACUACGU